rnacentral:lncRNA from 1 species
AUGUGACUGCUGUAUACACAGUUUACACGUCAGUUGGUCUAAUUUGUGUGUGGGGCUGGUGGGGGCAGGAGAACACUCCUACAUCACACCAGGCAUACAGUUUGGAUUGCUUAGUGAUUUAGGCUACGAAGAGAUAAAGAUCUUCUGUUAAGUUCUUUAAAUGUUCCUCUCUUUGAACAGUAAUUUCCAGCUCUAUGUCAAAGUAGGACCAGCCAUAGUCU